GGCGGCAUAGCUCAGUUGGCUAGAGCACUCGGUUCAUACCCGAUAGGUCGAUGGUUCGAAUCCGUCUGCCGCUACCA
rnacentral:tRNA from 1 species